AUACAAGGAUUCCCCUAGUAGCGGCGAGCGAAGCGGGAAAAGCUCAAAUUUGUAAUCUGGCGUCUUCGACGUCCGAGUUGUAAUCUCGAGAAGUGUUUUCCGUGAUAGACCGCAUACAAGUCUCUUGGAACAGAGCGUCAUAGUGGUGAGAACCCAGUACACGAUGCGGAUGCCUAUUACUUUGUGAUACACUUUCGAAGAGUCGAGUUGUUUGGGAAUGCAGCUCAAAUUGGGUGGUAAAUUCCAUCUAAAGCUAAAUAUUGGCGAGAGACCGAUAGCGAACAAGUACCGUGAGGGAAAGAUGAAAAGCACUUUGGAAAGAGAGUUAACAGUACGUGAAAUUGUUGGAAGGGAAACACAUGCAGUGAUACUUGCUAUUCGGGGCAACUCGAUUGGCAGGCCCGCAUCAGUUUUCCGGGGCGGAAAAGCAUAGAGAGAAGGUAGCAGUUUCGGCUGUGUUAUAGCUCUUUAUUGGAUUCGCCCUGGGGGAUUGAGGAACGCAGCGUGCUUUUUGCAUGAGCUUCGGCUUAUCCA
rnacentral:rRNA from 1 species